rnacentral:lncRNA from 1 species
UUAAGUUUGUGCUCAAGUGUGAAGAUAACCAAAAUCUAUGGGAAUGAUGAUUUUUAACAUGUCAUGUGCAUUGGAAAUCCCUAAGGCAAAUGUUGGAAGGUUAGGUUGUGUUUUGUUUGUUUUAUUUCGUUUUGUUUCUUUUGUUUUGCUCGAGUACUAGCAAAAGCUAAGUGUGGGGGAAUUUGAUAGGAGCAUAUUUAUGCAACUUAGUGAGCUUGUUUCUUGGCAUUUACUUUGUUUAAUUCUAGUUAUUUUAGUACUUUAAGCUAUUUUCGUGUGUUUGUAGGUUCAAAUAACAAAGUUGGCAACAAAGUGCUAUUUGGAGCACUUUGGAACAUUGAUAGGAUUUUUACUACUCAUGUGAACGGGCUUAAACCUCCUAUUUUACUUGCAAGAAUCACAAGGUUAUUGUAGUAUAAACGGAUUUCGCAAGGUCGUCUCCACAAGGAUUAUUAAAUAAUUCGAACUAAUCAGAUUCCAUUUAAUUAUUGUAAAGUAGAUAUUGAAGUGAUUUAUUUUAUAACCUAAUUAAAAUAAAAACGAAAUUAAUGAAGUAAAAUAAACAAUCUGCAAUAUUAGAGCUAGAGAGAAAAGAAAACAGUUUUGGGAGAAUAAAAUUAAGAAA